GAUGAACGCUGGCGGCGUGCCUAAUACAUGCAAGUCGAGCGAACAGACGAGGAGCUUGCUCCUCUGACGUUAGCGGCGGACGGGUGAGUAACACGUGGAUAACCUACCUAUAAGACUGGGAUAACUUCGGGAAACCGGAGCUAAUACCGUAUAAUAUAUUGAACCGCAUGGUUCAAUAGUGAAAGACGGUUUUGCUGUCACUUAUACAUGGAUCCGCGCCGCAUUAGCUAGUUGGUAAGGUAACGGCUUACCAAGGCAACGAUGCGUAGCCGACCUGAGAGGGUGAUCGGCCACACUGGAACUGAGACACGGUCCAGACUCCUACGGGAGGCAGCAGUAGGGAAUCUUCCGAAAAGGGCGAAAGCCUGACGGAGCAACGCCGCGUGAGUGAUGAAGGUCUUCGGAUCGUAAAACUCUGUUAUUAGGGAAGAACAAAUGUGUAAGUAACUAUGGACGUCUUGACGGUACCUAAUCAGAAAGCCACGGCUAACUACGUG
rnacentral:rRNA from 1 species